UUUCGGUGAUGAAUCAAACCAGCUCAUUAGGACAGUCGAUGAAAACACAUGAACGCCUGAGAAAC